UCCCCAGUGGUCCAGUGGCUAAGACUCUGUACUCCCAAUGCAGGUGACCUGGGUUCGAUCCCUGGAUGGGGAA
rnacentral:tRNA from 1 species